GAGAACUCUGGUUGUGCCACUUCUAUUUAGUUCAGGUAUUAUCAAAGUUUACAAGCAAUCCAUACUGGUUGCAGCUGGCAAGUAGCAGGAAUCUGUUUGAGGCCUUGAAAGUUCAGAUAUCCACCUUCCCCCAUGCACCCAAUUAUCUGCCACCUCUUCACAUGCAGAAUUUGAGCUAUUUUUUUUCUCUACAACAGCUGGGCAACCCACAUGUUUUUUAACUCUGCACUUGGGUGACAAAUAUCAUGAGAGAAGCAUUGCCAACACUUUAGUCUCAAGAGAACUGAGCUCUCUGGAGCAAUUCAAGACUCCAGUCACCUACCCAAGGAGAAAACAGUGAAUACCUCAGGAUCCAUAGAGCACAGCACACAUCUCCUUGUCAACUACUAACAAGAGCUAGACUGGGUACCAAGUGGACAUAGUUCAACAUCUACUGGGACAGAAAGGCUUAGCUCUGCAAUCUACUUGUCCAUAUGUCUUUCCAGACAACUUGAGAUAGCUGAGGUGUUUGUCAGACCCCUGAGGGAGAACAUUCAACUCAUCAUCUUGGCACAAAAAGAAGCUGGGCAGAAGAAAUAAAGAGGUGUUUUUCUUCACUGUUACUACUGUGAUCAACUAAAGGAAGCCUGAAGAGCACAGGUGAGGAGAACCUGUCUGAAAGAGGAUCUGCAAAAGCUGGGUGUGGGGGGAGGGAUUGAGGUCUUCUCUUGUGGCAACUGGGCAUCAUUACGUGGCAUCAACUACACCUGGAACAAUGUCUUGGUGGGUAUGUAAGGUGGCUAAACUGAUGUGACAAUGUAUUAUUAUAGGUAGAAUUUGUUUUGCUU
ensembl:lncRNA